rnacentral:rRNA from 1 species
AAUAGAUACCCAGGUAGUCCACGCCGUAAACGAUGGACACUCGGCGUUUGGGCGGCUUCUGGUCGCCUGGGCGCCCUAGCUAACGCGAUAAGUGUCCCGCCUGGGAACUACGAGCGCAAGCUUAAAACUCAAAGGAAUUGACGGGGGCCCGCACAAGCGGCGGAGCAUGCGGAUUAAUUCGAUGCAACGCGAAGAACCUUACCAAGGCUUGACAUGGACCGGAUCGCUGCAGAAAUGUGGUUUCUCCUUUUGGGGCCGGUUCACAGGUGGUGCAUGGUUGUCGUCAGCUCGUGUCGUGAGAUGUUGGGUUAAGUCCCGCAACGAGCGCAACCCUCGUUCCAUGUUGCCAGCACGUGAUGGUGGGGACUCAUGGGAGACUGCCGGGGUCAACUCGGAGGAAGGUGGGGACGACGUCAAAUCAUCAUGCCCCUUAUGUCUUGGGCUUCACGCAUGCUACAAUGGCCGGUACAAAGGGUUGCGAUACUGUGAGGUGGAGCUAAUCUCAAAAAGCCGGUCUCAGUUCGGAUUGGGGUC